UACGUAGGGUGCGAGCGUUGUCCGGAAUUAUUGGGCGUAAAGAGCUCGUAGGCGGUUUGUUGCGUCUAUCGUGAAAACCUGCGGCUUAACUGUGGGCUUGCGGUGGAUACGGGCAGACUUGAGUUCGGUAGGGGAGACUGGAAUUCCUGGUGUAGCGGUGAAAUGCGCAGAUAUCAGGAGGAACACCGGUGGCGAAGGCGGGUCUCUGGGCCGUAACUGACGCUGAGGAGCGAAAGCAUGGGGAGCGAACAGG
rnacentral:rRNA from 1 species